CGAACGGGUGNGUAACGCGUGAGGAACCUGCCUCAAAGAGGGGGACAACAGUUGGAAACGACUGCUAAUACCGCAUAAGCCCACGGGUCGGCAUCGACCAGAGGGAAAAGGAGCAAUCCGCUUUGAGAUGGCCUCGCGUCCGAUUAGCUAGUUGGUGAGGUAAUGGCCCACCAAGGCGACGAUCGGUAGCCGGACUGAGAGGUUGAACGGCCACAUUGGGACUGAGACACGGCCCAGACUCCUACGGGAGGCAGCAUG
rnacentral:rRNA from 1 species